CGAGAUGCCCAGGCAAUCGUCGCUCACUUUGGUGAGGGGAGGAAAGUCCGGGCUCCACUGGGCAGGGUGCCAGCUAACGGCUGGGCGGCGUGAGCCGACGACAAGUGCAGCAGAGAGAAGACCGCCUACUUCGGUAGGUAAGGGUGAAAGGGUGCGGUAAGAGCGCACCGGGCCACUGGUAACAGUUGGUUGCAAGGUAAACUCCACCCGGAGCAAGACCAAAUAGGUUCCCUACAGGCGUGGCCCGCGCUGGGAACGGGUAGGUCGCUUGAGCCUGUGAGCGAUUGCAGGCCUAGACGAAUGAUUGUCGCCUUCUCCGGAAGGAACAGAACCCGGCUUAUCGGGCAUCUCAAAUC
rnacentral:RNase_P_RNA from 2 species